UGAACGCUGGCGGCAGGCCUAACACAUGCAAGUCGAGCGGUAGCACGGGAGAGCUUGCUCUCUGGGUGACGAGCGGCGAGGACGGGUGAGUAAUGUCUGGGGAUCUGCCUGAUGGAGGGGGAUAACUACUGGAAACGGUAGCUAAUACCGCAUAACGUCGCAAGACCAAAGAGGGGGACCUUCGGGCCUCUUGCCAUCAGAUGAACCCAGAUGGGAUUAGCUAGUAGGUGAGGUAAUGGCUCACCUAGGCGACGAUCCCUAGCUGGUCUGAGAGGAUGACCAGCCACACUGGAACUGAGACACGGUCCAGACUCCUACGGGAGGCAGCAGUGGGGAAUAUUGCACAAUGGGCGCAAGCCUGAUGCAGCCAUGCCGCGUGUAUGAAGAAGGCCUUCGGGUUGUAAAGUACUUUCAGCGAGGAGGAAGGCAUUAAGGUUAAUAACCUURGUGAUUGACGUUACUCGCAGAAGAAGCACCGGCUAACUCCGUGCCAGCAGCCGCGGUAAUACGGAGGGUGCAAGCGUUAAUCGGAAUUACUGGGCGUAAAGCGCACGCAGGCGGUUUGUUAAGUCGGAUGUGAAAUCCCCGGGCUCAACCUGGGAACUGCAUUCGAAACUGGCAAGCUUGAGUCUUGUAGAGGGGGGUAGAAUUCCAGGUGUAGCGGUGAAAUGCGUAGAGAUCUGGAGGAAUACCGGUGGCGAAGGCGGCCCCCUGGACAAAGACUGACGCUCAGGUGCGAAAGCGUGGGGAGCAAACAGGAUUAGAUACCCUGGUAGUCCACGCCGUAAACGAUGUCGACUUGGAGGUUGUGCCCUUGAGGCGUGGCUUCCGGAGCUAACGCGUUAAGUCGACCGCCUGGGGAGUACGGCCGCAAGGUUAAAACUCAAAUGAAUUGACGGGGGCCCGCACAAGCGGUGGAGCAUGUGGUUUAAUUCGAUGCAACGCGAAGAACCUUACCUACUCUUGACAUCCAGAGAACUUUCCAGAGAUGGAUUGGUGCCUUCGGGAACUCUGAGACAGGUGCUGCAUGGCUGUCGUCAGCUCGUGUUGUGAAAUGUUGGGUUAAGUCCCGCAACGAGCGCAACCCUUAUCCUUUGUUGCCAGCGGUUCGGCCGGGAACUCAAAGGAGACUGCCAGUGAUAAACUGGAGGAAGGUGGGGAUGACGUCAAGUCAUCAUGGCCCUUACGAGUAGGGCUACACACGUGCUACAAUGGCGCAUACAAAGAGAAGCGACCUCGCGAGAGCAAGCGGACCUCAUAAAGUGCGUCGUAGUCCGGAUUGGAGUCUGCAACUCGACUCCAUGAAGUCGGAAUCGCUAGUAAUCGUAGAUCAGAAUGCUACGGUGAAUACGUUCCCGGGCCUUGUACACACCGCCCGUCACACCAUGGGAGUGGGUUGCAAAAGAAGUAGGUAGCUUAACCUUCGGGAGGGCGCUUACCGUGAUUCAUGACUGGGGUGCGUAAA
rnacentral:rRNA from 1 species